rnacentral:misc_RNA from 1 species
GAUGAAGAACGCAGCGAAAUGCGAUACGUAAUGUGAAUUGCAGAAUUCAGUGAAUCAUCGAAUCUUUGAACGCAUAUAGCGCUCUCUGGUAUUCCGGAGAGCAUGCUUGUUUGAGUAUCAGUAAACACCUCAACUCCCUUUUCUUUUUUGAAAUUGGAGCUGGACUUGAGUGAUCCCAACGCUUUCUUCCAAGAAAGUGGCGGGUUGCUUGAAAUGCAGGUGCAGCUGAACUUUUCUCUGAGCUAUAAGCAUAUCUAUUUAGUCUGCCUAAAAAACAGAUUAUUACCUUUGCUGCAGCUAACAUAAAGGAGACUAGUUCUUGUGCUGACUGAUGCAGGAUUCACAGAGACAGCUUCGGCUGACUUUGUAAACUCGAUCUCAAAUCAAGUAAGACUACCCGCUGAACUUAAGCAUAUCAAUAAGCGGAGGA